GUCUGUUGCGUUUUCUCCGGUGUC
rnacentral:siRNA from 1 species